GCGGCCGUAGUCUAGCGGUAGGAUUCUAGGUUGCCAAUCUAGCGACCCGGGUUCAAAUCCCGGCGGCCGCA
rnacentral:tRNA from 1 species